rnacentral:rRNA from 1 species
UACGUAGGGUGCAAGCGUUAAUCGGAAUUACUGGGCGUAAAGGGCGCGCAGGCGGCAGAUCAAGUCAGGCGUGAAAGCCCCGGGCUUAACCUGGGAACUGCGUCUGGGACUGGUUUGCUAGAGAUCGGGAGAGGAGAGUGGAAUUCCCAGUGUAGAGGUGAAAUUCGUAGAUAUUCGGAAGAACACCAGUGGCGAAGGCGACUCACUGGACACGUAUUGACGCUGAGGUGCGAAAGCGUGGGGAGCAAACAGGG